rnacentral:piRNA from 1 species
UGACCUACAACGAGGUGGCUCCUCAGAUGAC